rnacentral:rRNA from 1 species
GGUUAAGCGACUAAGCGUACACGGUGGAUGCCCUGGCAGUCAGAGGCGAUGAAGGACGUGCUAAUCUGCGAAAAGCGUCGGUAAGGUGAUAUGAACCGUUACAGCCGGCGAUGUCCGAAUGGGGAAACCCAGUGUGAUUCGUCACACUAUCGUUAACUGAAUACAUAGGUUAACGAGGCGAACCGGGGGAACUGAAACAUCUAAGUACCCCGAGGAAAAGAAAUCAACCGAGAUUCCCCCAGUAGCGGCGAGCGAACGGGGAGCAGCCCAGAGUCUGAAUCAGCUUGUGUGUUAGUGGAACGGUCUGGAAAGUCCGACGGUACAGGGUGAUAGUCCCGUACACCAAAAUGCACAGGCUGUGAACUCGAAGAGUAGGGCGGGACACGUGGUAUCCUGUCUGAAUAUGGGGGGACCAUCCUCCAAGGCUAAAUACUCCUGACUGACCGAUAGUGAACCAGUACCGUGAGGGAAAGGCGAAAAGAACCCCGGCGAGGGGAGUGAAAAAGAACCUGAAACCGUGUACGUACAAGCAGUGGGAGCACCUUCGGGUGUGACUGCGUACCUUUUGUAUAAUGGGUCAGCGACUUAUAUUCUGUAGCAAGGUUAACCGUAUAGGGGAGCCGCAGGGAAACCGAGUCUUAACUGGGCGUUAAGUUGCAGGGUAUAGACCCGAAACCCGGUGAUCUAGCCAUGGGCAGGUUGAAGGUUGGGUAACACUAACUGGAGGACCGAACCGACUAAUGUUGAAAAAUUAGCGGAUGACUUGUGGCUGGGGGUGAAAGGCCAAUCAAACCGGGAGAUAGCUGGUUCUCCCCGAAAGCUAUUUAGGUAGCGCCUCGUGAACUCAUCUUCGGGGGUAGAGCACUGUUUCGGCUAGGGGGUCAUCCCGACUUACCAACCCGAUGCAAACUACGAAUACCGAAGAAUGUUAUCACGGGAGACACACGGCGGGUGCUAACGUCCGUCGUGAAGAGGGAAACAACCCAGACCGCCAGCUAAGGUCCCAAAGUCAUGGUUAAGUGGGAAACGAUGUGGGAAGGCACAGACAGCCAGGAUGUUGGCUUAGAAGCAGCCAUCAUUUAAAGAAAGCGUAAUAGCUCACUGGUCGAGUCGGCCUGCGCGGAAGAUGUAACGGGGCUAAACCAUGCACCGAAGCUGCGGCAGCGACACUAUGUGUUGUUGGGUAGGGGAGCGUUCUGUAAGCCUGCGAAGGUGACCUGUGAGGGUUGCUGGAGGUAUCAGAAGUGCGAAUGCUGACAUAAGUAACGAUAAAGCGGGUGAAAAGCCCGCUCGCCGGAAGACCAAGGGUUCCUGUCCAACGUUAAUCGGGGCAGGGUGAGUCGACCCCUAAGGCGAGGCCGAAAGGCGUAGUCGAUGGGAAACAGGUUAAUAUUCCUGUACUUGGUGUUACUGCGAAGGGGGGACGGAGAAGGCUAUGUUAGCCGGGCGACGGUUGUCCCGGUUUAAGCAUGUAGGCUGAUUGUCCAGGCAAAUCCGGAUAAUCAAGGCUGAGGUGUGAUGACGAGGCACUACGGUGCUGAAGUAACAAAUGCCCUGCUUCCAGGAAAAGCCUCUAAGCAUCAGGUAACAUCAAAUCGUACCCCAAACCGACACAGGUGGUCAGGUAGAGAAUACCAAGGCGCUUGAGAGAACUCGGGUGAAGGAACUAGGCAAAAUGGUGCCGUAACUUCGGGAGAAGGCACGCUGGUGUGUAGGUGAAGUCCCUGCGGAUGGAGCUGAGACCAGUCGAAGAUACCAGCUGGCUGCAACUGUUUAUUAAAAACACAGCACUGUGCAAACACGAAAGUGGACGUAUACGGUGUGACGCCUGCCCGGUGCCGGAAGGUUAAUUGAUGGGGUUAUCCGUAAGGAGAAGCUCUUGAUCGAAGCCCCGGUAAACGGCGGCCGUAACUAUAACGGUCCUAAGGUAGCGAAAUUCCUUGUCGGGUAAGUUCCGACCUGCACGAAUGGCGUAAUGAUGGCCAGGCUGUCUCCACCCGAGACUCAGUGAAAUUGAACUCGCUGUGAAGAUGCAGUGUACCCGCGGCAAGACGGAAAGACCCCGUGAACCUUUACUAUAGCUUGACACUGAACAUUGAGCCUUGAUGUGUAGGAUAGGUGGGAGGCUUUGAAGCGUGGACGCCAGUCUGCGUGGAGCCAACCUUGAAAUACCACCCUUUAAUGUUUGAUGUUCUAACGUUGGCCCCUGACCGGGGUUGCGGACAGUGUCUGGUGGGUAGUUUGACUGGGGCGGUCUCCUCCCAAAGCGUAACGGAGGAGCACGAAGGUUAGCUAAUCCUGGUCGGACAUCAGGAGGUUAGUGCAAUGGCAUAAGCUAGCUUGACUGCGAGCGUGACGGCGCGAGCAGGUGCGAAAGCAGGUCAUAGUGAUCCGGUGGUUCUGAAUGGAAGGGCCAUCGCUCAACGGAUAAAAGGUACUCCGGGGAUAACAGGCUGAUACCGCCCAAGAGUUCAUAUCGACGGCGGUGUUUGGCACCUCGAUGUCGGCUCAUCACAUCCUGGGGCUGAAGUAGGUCCCAAGGGUAUGGCUGUUCGCCAUUUAAAGUGGUACGCGAGCUGGGUUUAGAACGUCGUGAGACAGUUCGGUCCCUAUCUGCCGUGGGCGCUGGAGAAUUGAGGGGGGCUGCUCCUAGUACGAGAGGACCGGAGUGGACGCAUCACUGGUGUUCGGGUUGUCAUGCCAAUGGCACUGCCCGGUAGCUAAAUGCGGAAGAGAUAAGUGCUGAAAGCAUCUAAGCACGAAACUUGCCCCGAGAUGAGUUCUCCCUGAGACUUUAAGUCUCCUGAAGGAACGUUAAAGACGAUGACGUUGAUAGGCCGGGUGUGUAAGCGCAGCGAUGCGUUGAGCUAACCGGUACUAAUGAACCGUGAGGCUUAACCUU